rnacentral:rRNA from 1 species
AUUGAACGCUGGCGGCAUGCUUUACACAUGCAAGUCGAACGGUAACAGGCCGCAAGGUGCUGACGAGUGGCGAACGGGUGCGUAAUGCAUCGGAACGUGCCCAGUCGUGGGGGAUAACUACUCGAAAGAGUAGCUAAUACCGCAUACGAUCUAUGGAUGAAAGCGGGGGACCGUAAGGCCUCGCGCGAUUGGAGCGGCCGAUGUCAGAUUAGGUAGCUGGUGGGGUAAAGGCUCACCAAGCCAACGAUCUGUAGCUGGUCUGAGAGGACGACCGGCCACACUGGGACUGAGACACGGCCCAGACUCCUACGGGAGGCAGCAGUGGGGAAUUUUGGACAAUGGGCGCAAGCCUGAUCCAGCAAUGCCGCGUGAAGGAAGAAGGCCUUCGGGUUGUAAACUGCUUUUGUACGGAACGAAACGGCUCUGGUUAAUACCCGGGGCUAAUGACGGUACCGUAAGAAUAAGCACCGGCUAACUACGUG